rnacentral:misc_RNA from 1 species
GAAAUGCGAUAAGUAAUGUGAAUUGCAGAAUUCAGUGAAUCAUCGAAUCUUUGAACGCACAUUGCGCCCGCCAGUAUUCUGGCGGGCAUGCCUGCCCGAGCGUCAUUUCAACCCUCGCGCCCGCUGGGAAACCGGCGAGCACGGUGUUGGGGACCGGCGCGGGGUCGCGAGACCCCGCCCGCCGCCCCCCAAAUGCAGUGGCGGUCCCGCCGGCGCCUUCCCCGCGUAGUAGCAUACACCUCGCGGCCGGGAGCGCUGGCGCGGCACCUAAGCCGUAAAACCCCCCGACGAAUCGCCACCACGGCGAGAUAGUUUGACCUCGGAUCAGGUAGGAAUACCCGCUGAACUUAA